rnacentral:rRNA from 1 species
UGAACGCUGGCGGCAUGCCUUACACAUGCAAGUCGAACGGCAGCACGGGUGCUUGCACCUGGUGGCGAGUGGCGAACGGGUGAGUAAUACAUCGGAACAUGUCCUGUAGUGGGGGAUAGCCCGGCGAAAGCCGGAUUAAUACCGCAUACGAUCUACGGAUGAAAGCGGGGGACCUUCGGGCCUCGCGCUAUAGGGUUGGCCGAUGGCUGAUUAGCUAGUUGGUGGGGUAAAGGCCUACCAAGGCGACGAUCAGUAGCUGGUCCGAGAGGACGACCAGCCACAGUGGGACUGAGCCACGGCCCAGACUCCUACGGGAGGCAGCAGUGGGGAAUUUUGGACAAUGGGGGAAAGCCUGAUCCAGCAAUGCCGGGUGUGUGAAGAAGGCCUUCGGGUUGUAAAGCACUUUUGUCCGGAAAGAAAUCCUUGGCUCUAAUACAGGCGGGGGAUGACGGUACCGGGAGAAUAAGCACCGGCUAACUACGUG